AAUGGUAAUUACAGCUAGUUGUACAAUAAAGCGAUUUGGAGUAAAUCUAUAAAAAUUACCGUGUUCGAAUUAAGGGCUGAAAUUCGCCCUUAUGAAGUUGGAAUCACAAGUAAUCGUAAAUCAGAACGUUACGGUGAAUUUGUACUUAGANCUUGCACACACCGCCCGUCACAUGCCGGAAGUAGAUUUUGUUUGAAACUUGUCUUGUACAACAAAUAUUUUGAAAUGAAUAAUUUCUUUCAAAAGGUAUGUUAAUAUUUGACAAACUAUUAUAGAAUUUGUAACUGGGAUGAAGUCGUAACAAGGUAGC
rnacentral:rRNA from 1 species